rnacentral:rRNA from 1 species
UACGUAGGGUGCAAGCGUUGUCCGGAAUUAUUGGGCGUAAAGAGCUCGUAGGCGGUCUGUCGCGUCGAAUGUGAAAACCCGGGGCUCAACCCCGGGCCUGCAUUCGAUACGGGCAGACUAGAGUUCGGUAGGGGAGUCUGGAAUUCCCGGUGUAGCGGUGAAAUGCGCAGAUAUCAGGAGGAACACCGGUGGCGAAGGCGGGACUCUGGGCCGAUACUGACGCUGAGGAGCGAAAGCGUGGGGAGCGAACAGG